rnacentral:rRNA from 1 species
UACGUAGGGUGCAAGCGUUGUCCGGAAUUAUUGGGCGUAAAGAGCUCGUAGGCGGUCUGUCGCGUCGGAUGUGAAAAUCCAGGGCUCAACCCUGGACCUGCAUUCGAUACGGGCAGACUAGAGUUCGGCAGGGGAGACUGGAAUUCCUGGUGUAGCGGUGAAAUGCGUAGAUAUCUGGAGGAACAUCGGUGGCGAAGGCGGCAUCCUGGACCGGUAUUGACGCUGAGGCGCGAAAGCCAGGGGAGCAAACGGG